rnacentral:lncRNA from 1 species
UUUAUUUGAGAGAGAGAGAGAGAGAGAGAGACCAAGUGGAGGAGGGGCAGAGGGAGAAGGAGAAAAUCCCAUGCAGACUACAUACUUAGGGGACCUAAGUAUCUAGUAAGUUUAAUGCAGAUUAAAUAAGGAAAUUGCAAAAAUGCCUUUUGGUUAUAGACUAUGUUUAUUGAUAUACAUAUUCAUUAGGUGCCUAAUAAAUAGUAGGAAUGACUACAGAGAUAACUCCAAAGUGGUACUUACUGUGUGCCAGAACUGUUCUGAGGUGCUUCAUGAAUAUUAACAGAUUAACUCUUUAGGGCACUUAGGAGGGGCCAUUACUAUCCUUCACGUUACAAGUUUAGAACCUGAGGCCCUAAGAUGUUAAUGAUGUUUAAGAAUUUGCUCAAGAAAGCGCCCUCCGACCACAGCUAGAAAGAAGUGAGGCCAGAAUGCAAAGGAGGCAAUCUGGCUCCAGGCCAGAUGCUUCUCACCAUCUCAUUUGGCCAACAAAGAAAUGGCAGCCCUGAGAGGCAAGACCCCACUUCCCCCCACCCCCCUUAUCAGCCAACCCCCCUUUUGGCAAAGGUUCUGUGGCUCUGGGCCUCUACAUGCAAACCGAAGCCUCUGCAGAUCUCCCCUUUCUAAGUUUUCUCUGGCUAUUUUCCUGAAUGUUGGUUCAUGGAUCGCCCCACUGGGGAGUAAACGUGAAGAAACUUCUCUUUGUUCCUGUAUCUGUGUCCAGCUGCCACCAUGAAAGCACUGCCCAGAAUCCUAUCAGCUCUUCUCAUGUAGCUCAGCUUGCCUUCUGCUUUAUUAGACUCACAGACACCACUUCACUUAGGUUCCCUAAUUGGUUUACCUACUAUCGAUCUUUCCCCCUCUGCUUAAGGGAUUCUGGACAGGGCGAGCACAAACAUGCUAUAAAAUAAACCUGCCACAAUAGAGGCGCUUUGCUUUAAGCCAUCCCACGGGGUCCUCAGCCAUGGGCUUUCUGGCCUUCUCACUCCCUUUUCUUUAGGUCUUGAGGGAGCUUCCAAUCCCAGAGGCACCCCCUCAUGAUGCAUGCACUGCACUCAGGAGAAGCUUGAAAUGGUUUGUGGUUAACAAACCAUUCCUGAUGCUCUACAGUCAGUUUUAUCCCCCAGCCUCCAGAACCCAGAAUUACAAGCCUGAAAUGUAAGACAUUCAGGAAAGGAACAAAUAAAGUAAUUUAUUUCCUUUUACUCAUCUCUUCCCAAUAUGGCUAAAUGUUCCCUCAUCAUGAUCUCUGGUUGCUAUCAUGACACAUCCACAUAUCAGCAUCUGUAAGGAAGGGGACACCCAAGGCUUUCAGAACAGGCCUCGAUUCCACUGGUGGGUUACUGAAUUAUUAAAGGUAUUAAGGAACAUGUGUGGUCUGAAUUUUAGGGUUAGCAUAUUUGUCUGCGCAACAUAUAUGGUAGCUCUUUCCACAUUUAGACGAUAUUCUAUAUGUCAAACAGGGAGGGCCUCACUGAAGAAGGGACCGCUGAACAAAGUUUUGAAGGAGGUGAGGGAGUGAUCACAGAGAUGUGAAAAGACAAGUGUAGAGGCCUGGAGGUUCACGUAUGGUGGGCAUGGGAGGAAGGAAGGAAGGGGGCCACCUAAGGGACAGGCACAACUGUCCAAUGCUGUGGGAUGCUAUAAAGACCACGGCCACCUCCACAGGGAAUGAGUGCCACUGUGCCCCUGUUCCAAGCCCAGGAAUGAGAACUCGGAUUCAUGAGUUAGCUGGAGCUCAGGGCAGGAUGGAAGCAGGGACAAGUGAAAAAACUACUUCCAUGAUCCCAGGGCUUCCCACCUCCAUAACAGCAGUAUAAUCAGGAGUCAUUCUCUGGAAUUCUAUUGGAAUACAGUACGGUCAUUCUCUGGAAAUACACUGAAGGAGCAGCCAACAGGGUGAUCUUGUAUUUAUUUAUUUACUGUUUGUCUCCCACACUAGUAUUAAGUUGCACCAGAGCAGUCUUGGGUUUGUUUUGUUUUCUGCAUCCCCAGAGCCCAGAACAGUGCCUGGCACAUAACGACUCUGCAAAUAUCUGCAAUACAUAAAUGAACCUGCCAGAGUUUGAAAAGCAGUCAAGAGGCUAAGCUAGGAUUCCAAUCCAGGGAUUUCUCACUCCCAAGUUUCAGUUUAUAGUCACUAUGCUAUUCUGCUUCUACUCGCAUAACUUUUUACCAGGAAUAAAAGGUCCCCCCACUUCCACACACACACUAAGGUAUACUCAGGUCAAUGCACUCCUCAACAUCUCUCUAUAAGGCACAAGAUAUCAUUAGCCAUCUGUGCACAGUAUUGACAUCUGGAAGAUAAGGGUCAGAAACAAGGAAAGGUCCUAAGAAGCUCCUACGUACUCUAACAUGACCCUAACACAGCCCUGGUUGGAGUGUGUGUGUGUGUGCGUGCAUGUGUGUGUGUGUGCUUGUGUAUAGAAUUUCCUUUCUGGUAAAGAUACUCUAUUAAUAGCGCUCGAUAGCUACACAAAAGAUAUACAAGGGAAAUUCCUUCUUGCAGUUCUAAUGAAAAUGGAAAAUGAGUCAGGGAAGCAGUCUUUAAGAACCUGAAUGGAGUGGGGCAUCAGGGUGGGCACAGGUAGGUCAGCAAGGGAAUAUUUAAAAAAACAGUGUUAGUGAGGAUAAGUCACAGAUUCUUUUUUUUUUUAAGAUUUUAUUUAUUUAUUCAUAGACAGAGAGAGAGGCAGAGACACAGGGAGAGGGAGAAGCAGGCUCCAUGCAGGGAGCCCGAUGUGGGACUUGAUCCCGGGUCCCCAGGAUGACACCCCAGGCUGCAGGCGGCGCCAAACUGCCGCGCCACCAGGGCUGCCCAAAGUCACAGAUUCUGAGGAGAAUGGAUCUUCCUAGAACUUAGAGUGAUCCAGCUACAAAUGAAAACGACAACAAACUUUCCAAUGGAGAGGAACAGGUAACCCGAGAGCGCUCAGCUGCUCUAGAGGUCUGAUGCCAAUUAAGCCUCUCUCCUGGUGCCCUUAAUCAGAGGACAGCACAGCAUCAAGUCUGGAGAGGCACCUGCUGGGUUGAGAUACCGCCUCUCCCUGACUAGCUAAAUAUCCUUGGGCAACAUUCUUGAAUUCUUUGUUUCUCAAUCUCCUCAUCUGUAAAAAGAGAUAAAAUAUUACCCAUCUCCUAGGAUAUUCAGUCAGGACUAACUAUAUUAACACAGGGCAAAACAUUUAGAACAGUGCCUGGCUCCCACUGAUAGUUGGCCCUUACUGAAUGAACACUGGUUACUUCCCCUAGAGGGUUCGCCUUGGUGCCACAAAAGGCACUUAAAUUACCAUCUCCAACCCCACCCCUACUGCCAACUCAUCCAGGUAACUAAGAAAAGGAAUCCCUUUAUGAUGUUUGAGUCCAGAAGGACAAACCUGGUGUCCUGUGCCUGGGGUUCGAAAGAGAUGAACCUGGAGUCUGAUUAUCAAGAAUGUCAAGUCACUGAGGUCAGUGUGAGGCUGGCUGUGACGGUGGGGGCCACAGGGCCUGAGGAGGAACACACUCGCAGAGAAUACCCACAAAUAUUAUUCAUAAUCACAGCUUUCAAAGGAAGUUCUGAGAAUCCACGGAAAUAUUUAUUAUUGUGUCAUUCCUAGAAUAAAUAAUUAUGGAAUAGAAAUCUAUCUGAAUUGAGGAACAGCAAUUAUGGUCCUAGGAAUCAUUCUCUCAGACUGUUACAAUCUCUUGUCUUGGAAAGUGGACAAGUCAUAGAUGGAACCUAUUGGGACUUUUGAUGCUGUCUCAUAUCAUAAUGAUAAUCUGGGGAAAUACUGGCUCCCUCUACAAAUAUUAGCCUUUGAGUUAUUAGUGAGUCUUUCCCUUCGCAAGGGACAGGGCAUGCUUAUUAAAGACCCAGAGGGGAGGCUAGCACAAACUUAUUAAGUUUGCAGAUGACAUUAAUGGCAGGGCAGGGUGUGAGUUACUUUAAAACACAGAAUACCAAAGGAAAGGGACAAGGGGCUGUGAGUGCACAUGAGCCUCUUAAAAAAUGAUGAAGUCCCUUACACUCUCCUCUGACAUUUAUCAUCUAUGCUUACCAAGUUUGAGCCAAGACAUGAAUCCAAAGCAAUUGCAUGCGCUGAUACCUAUAAAAUACCAUUAAAGAUCUGCACCCAGGAGACCCUUGUUUAUUAAUGAAUCACCCACAGUCAGAGAUGUGUUUCCUUCUUUUGCAGGAAACUAGAAGAUCCCUUAAAACCAUAAAGCCAGAUGAUAUUUCCUAUGGGAGUGUUCUUGGGAAGACACAUCUAGAAAUCGUUCCCAGGUUUCAUGGGAAUCAGCACUCAUCUGGAAUGAAGUUGGAUCAGGUCAGGGCUACGUAACCAUGAGGUGGGGCCACAAGCCCACCACGGGGACCCAGGGACCAGGCCCAGCCCUUAGCAGCUCCCUGUACAGCACAGGGGAGUCACAGCCAGGUGACAUUCUGCUGCAGGAUGAGUGGGGGUCGUUACUAGCAUAACGAACAAAUGCUCAAGGUACAGAUUUGGAUAUCCAGACUCUGGAAGUCUAGCUUUUUACAAGGAUAUAUUCAUGAUUUUUCAAGCAAAAACAAAUUAGAAUUUACUUGGUGGACUGUCAAUGAGAAGAUGUCGAUUUUUUUUCAAAAAAUAUUUUUAUUUAUUUAUUUGAGAGAAAGAGAGAGAGAGAGAGCACAGGUCGGGUGAGGGGCAGACUCCCCACUGAGCAGGGAGCCCGAUGUGGGGCUUGAUCCUGGGACUCCAGGAUCACAACCUGAGACUAAGACAGCCACCCAACUGACUAAGCCACCCAGGCACCCCAAGAAGAUGCUGAUUUUAAACAUCAUUACAAUUUAAACAGUACUAAAACCAACUCAAAACAGAUUUGUUUUUUACUGAUGGCCUUUGCUUUCUUUACGUGUAACUGAUCUGAAGGACGGAUAUCUGGAUAUCUGAGGGUGAAUCGGUUUCCUUCUCUCAGCUAAAUAAGAGAAGGAAAGUGCCUAGCACUCUGCCGUACACAAACUGCUUCCCACUGUCAGUGCAUGAAGGGCUCAUACACACUUGGGGAGACCGAGAAAUCAGAGGCUUAUGUCUUUACACUAACUCACCACAUGUGUAUGAAGGAUCCAAACAGUUUGUUUAAAUGAGCAUUUGUGAUGGAAUCUUUUAUCUUUUAAAAGCCGCUUCUAUACUAUCUGUUUAUUGAUCAUUCGUGGUUAUUAUGGAACAACAGUGCAUAGAAACACUGCAUGGAGAGGUCAGCUUUUUAGAUUUCUGGUGUUCUUCAUGGAACCAGGCUGCUAGUUCCAAUUGUCUUGUCAUUAUUCGUUGUGUCCAAAAGUUUCCCAGCCCCUCCAACAAUUCCCGCUUCUAAUCUACUGAGUUCAAAACCCAGAUAACUAAAUUUUUUAAAAUUUGCAUUAAAUAUAAGCCAGAAGGCACUGAAUAGACAACCUAGGGGUGAGGAGCAUAUUUUUGUGCCAUGACAUUGAUAUAGCCCAUUUAUGAGCACAGCAUUGUAUUUUAAACUUAUUAGUAGAUGAAUACUGGGUCUGGUGCAAAAUGAACAUGUGUAGUUAGAACGUUGCUUUCUCUUUGCCAAAAGAGAUUCACAGAAUUGUAAAUAAAUAUAAAACCUAAAAUUAUUUUCAUAAAGAUUAAUUAAUUCAUAUUAUUCAGAAGUCCAAUAUUUUUUAGAACAUAAAAUUUGUGAAUUGUUAUAAUCAAGUAACAGUAUUCAAUCAAAUCCAUUUUAUACAAUUAAGAAAUUAUGCUAUCUUCUGAAAAGUGAUGUUCUAAAAUAACAUUUUAAAGAUUUUAUAUUUGGCCUACUAUAAUCUGGAAUCUAUUUUCCUGUAGCAUCUUUUAUAGCUAUUUAAAGGCUAACCUUUUAUUUGAGAAAUAAUCACCAUCAGUGUUUUCCCCCUCUGUGUCACUCAAAGUGUUUGGGACAAUUUUACACUAUUGUUCAAGUGACACAUUCAAAUGCCUAAUAUAUAAUUGACUUCGCAUGGAAAUUUUCUCAAGAAAGGAAAAAAGCCCCCCAAAAUGUGUGUUUUAAUCUUAUUU